CAAGAGAUCCAACUAUCACCGGAAUGCAGAGAUGACAUCCGGUGGAAGUUCAUCGUUGAUGGGUGUUACUCGGUCGCCACCGCUUACAGAAUGCAGUUUGCUGGACUGAUUAAGUCGGACAUGUCGCGAUUAAUUUGGAAGAUCUGCCCCCUGCCCAAGAUCAAGUUCUUUUCUUGGCUCAUUCUUCAAGAUAUAAUAUGGAUGACGGACAGAUUGCUUCGCAGAGGAUGA
rnacentral:rRNA from 1 species